rnacentral:ribozyme from 1 species
CAUAAAAAGCAGGACAGAUGAUGUGUCAUUCGUUCAAGUGGUGAAGUCGUUGUCAAGCCCCCCCACCGAUUCCCCCUCCCCCCACAAACUGAGUUCAGGUUUUCGAUCUGUCUCAUUUAUUCAAGACGAAUUGCAGUUGGAGUAGCGACAAAAGGAACUAACAAUGGCAGG